AUAUCUUGCAGGCAGGACAGGCUAUGAUUGAAGAAUGCUGAUUCACAACAUGAAGAAGAUGAAGAUAGGGCCAUUCACAUACCCUGGACUCCUUAAGGUUUGAUUAAGACCCUCUGUGUCAACCCAUCUCCUCAGUCACUGAAGACACUGUACACUUUAGAUACAUGAUCUAGAAAAGCCCAAGAAGAACCGAGCUGGAAGACUGUGACUGUGCAGAUCUCUCAGAGUACCAAUUAUACGUGGGGGCUUGGGAAGAAAGGCAAGGUGCAUUAUCGAGCUUGAAUUCUAUCACCUUUGGGAAUAACCUACUAGCCAAGAUGUGCCCUCUCAUGAAACAGUGCUCUCUGAUAGGAUUUGAGAAACACUCCAAAGGAGAGAAUAUGUAAACCUGGCCAAUGAUCCAUGGCAGGGUAGCUCAUAGGCCUUAGGAAAGAGCGGAUUGCUGUUGUUUAGUCAACUGGCAUAGUUUCAAGCUACCUUCUAAACAUUUGUUUCAUAUCUAGAGACUUUUAUUGCUCUUUGCCUUAAUUCUCUUUCAAGAUAAUGUUGCUUAGUGAAGAGAUUCCUGACUGUACAGCAUUCAUAAAAUAUGUGACAGAAAAUACUUACUAAACAAGAUAUUUACCACCACCCCCAAGGCCCAACUAACAGUACAGAAAUGAAACCAGAGAGAACAUAGAGUUAGAAAACAUAGAAUAUGCUUUGAAAUGCCAUCUCCUGUGCAAGUCAUAACUAUUGCAAACAUGAACUUGCAGUAACUUUAGAUGCCCGCCCUGGGUCCGCAUAAGGAUGGGUUCAUAAUAGUUUACUAAUAGUAAAAGAGGGAUGAAGGAGGUUGCAGGAGUCAUUUUCAUGUGUAGCUUUUGUUAAAUUUCUCUUCAGUUUUAUGUUAGCAUGACUUUAUUUAACCACAAUCAUUUAAGCUGUUUAUAUAGCUAGAAUAUAGUUCCAUUAUUAAGUGUUAUUAAUGUAAUCAAUCAUGAGCAUUAGUAAUGUGAAAAAUAAUAAAAACUUGAAUAGUAUGCAAUAUAUUCUGGAUAUGAUAUAAUUCAUCAUAAAGAAUCCUUCACAUAUUUAUACUUUUCCCAUUAUG